AUUAGCAUAUCAGGAAAUCCUGCCAAGAUGCAGAUUUUGGUCUAGUCUAUCAAAUGAGACCUAAGAUUCUGCAUUUCUAGCAAGCCCUCAGGGUAUACUGCU
rnacentral:pre_miRNA from 1 species